rnacentral:rRNA from 1 species
UAGGGAAUCUUCCGCAAUGGACGCAAGUCUGACGGAGCAACGCCGCGUGAGUGAAGAAGGUUUUCGGAUCGUAAAACUCUGUUGUAAGAGAAGAACAAAUUGUAGAGUAACUGCUACAGUCUUGACGGUAUCUUACCAGAAAGCCACGGCUAACUACGUGCCAGCAGCCGCGGUAAUACGUAUGGGGCUAGCGUUAUCCGGAUUUACUGGGCGUAAAGGGUGCGUAGGUGGUCUUUCAAGUCGGUGGUUAAAGGCUACGGCUCAACCGUAGUUAGCCUCCGAAACUGGAAGACUUGAGUGCAGGAGAGGAAAGUGGAAUUCCCAGUGUAGCGGUGAAAUGCGUAGAUAUUGGGAGGAACACCAGUAGCGAAGGCGGCUUUCUGGACUGCAACUGACACUGAGGCACGAAAGCGUGGGUAGCAAACAGG